rnacentral:lncRNA from 10 species
UAGCGCCUGGCCCGCUAGGGUCUGCAGCCCCACGUGGGCCGAGGGGUAGAGGAGGAAAUUGAAGACGAAGGCGUUGGGACAGCGCCGCUGCUGCAGGAUGGUGUUUCCCUUCCUGUUUGCUGAUCCACUGGGGCUGUCCCAGAAAGAGAACUACAACGCUACUCUUUCCCAUGCCUUGCUUGUCCACAGAUGCAGCAACAAGGUAUCAUCUUGGAAGCAGAGACAGGGCCUUCACCAGACACCAAACCCAAAGAUCCCUUCAUCUUGGACUUUCAGCCUCCAGAACUGUGAGAAAUAAAUUCCUAUUCUUUUAAAAUUACCCAGUCUCAGGUGUUUUGUUGUAUCAACACAAAUGAACAGGCCCAGACUGCGCAAUGUCUGAAGAUCUUCAUUUCACCCUGCUAGUAACAACCAUCCUGUUACGUUUGCACUUCUUUGCAAUUCACCCCAC